AUGGAUAGGCAAGGCAUUUCAUCUCUAGUCUUCGACAACAACGACGGCGUGAACAACUACAUCACCAAAGCGUCAAUCUUCGAUCUACAACGACAAAUGCAAGGCGCACAAUCAAGAUUGCAAGAGUGCAUCGAGAACCUCUCCAUCGACAUUCAUCACUCCGAAGCACGGAAAAGGGACUACAUCGACAACAAGCUUUCCGCACAAAAGGAGGAGCAAGAUGCAAGGAUGGACGAGAUUCGGACCUUGUUGAUCAAUCAUUCUUCCCCUUCAUCAUACUCAAGGCAGCGACAUUCAAGUCACAAGUCUUCAGAGCACAAACAAGAUACAAGCGCAAGUCGUCCACGUCCACAUCUCCAUGGCGACCAUCGUCAACAUCGUCAUGAAGGGCAAGUCACCUCCAAGCAACAUGUACACGACGACAACAAACAACAUCUACUACGAGCUCAAGUACGGCAACGAAACCAUCAUCAUGGCGAUGCUCAUCAAGCGCAAAUGCAUAAGUCCCAACAAGCCCUACUUCACGCCAAGUUCAAACUUCAUGAGCAUAAGAGAAGACCGCGAGACGAGCACCACCAAGAUGGAGCUACGACUACAACAACCACUUCGGCAUCUUCGCCAAGUGCUAUCAAGGCAUCUUCUCCUUUGGACAUACGUCAUCUUCGCCUACUUCCCGUGAGUUCGCCUACAUCGACAUCAUCAAGUACAAGGCGACCACCUACAAGCGAGGGUGACACUUCCAUCUUCGGAAGCCCCUCAAGGAAGAUGGCCGAGCAUGGGAAUUUCCCUUCGGUCAUGGAGACGAGCUAUGAGGUGCCACAUCAUAUGGGCCUCCAACAACAAGAUGGUGACAAGAAGGUCGAGCAAGGGCCAUCCCCUUCGGCCAUGACGACAUGA
rnacentral:rRNA from 1 species